rnacentral:rRNA from 1 species
AUCUACAGCCAUGCUACCCUGAACAAGCCUGAUACCAUCUGAUCUCAGAAGCUAAGCAAGGUUGGGCCUGGUUAGUACUAGGAUGGGAGACUACCUAGGAAGACCAGGUGCUGUAGGUG